rnacentral:rRNA from 1 species
GACGAACGCUGGCGGCGUGCUUAACACAUGCAAGUCGAGCGGUAAGGCCCUUUCGGGGGUACACGAGCGGCGAACGGGUUGAGUAACACGUGGGUGACCUGCCCUCAGCUCUGGGAUAAGCCUGGGAAACCGGGUCUAAUACUGGAUAUGACUCCAUGACGCAUGUUGUGGGGUGGAAAGCCUUGUGCGGCUGAGGAUGGGCCCGCGGCCUAUCAGCUUGUUGGUGGGGUGAUGGCCUACCAAGGCGACGACGGGUAGCCGGCCUGAGAGGGCGACCGGCCACACUGGGACUGAGACACGGCCCAGACUCCUACGGGAGGGCAGCAGUGGGGAAGUCUUGCGCAAUGGGCGAAAGCCUGACGCAGCGACGCCGCGUGAGGGAUGACGGCCUCGG